rnacentral:rRNA from 1 species
CCUACGGGAGGCAGCAGUAGGGAAUAUUGCUCAAUGGGGGAAACCCUGAAGCAGCAACGCCGCGUGGAGGAUGAAGGUUUUCGGAUUGUAAACCUCUUUUGUUAGAGAAGCAAAUGACGGUAUCUAACGAAUAAGCACCGGCUAACUACGGGCCAGCAGCCGCGGUAAUACGGAGGGUGCAAGCGUUACUCGGAAUCACUGGGCGUAAAGGGCGCGUAGGCGGGAUAGUAAGUCAGAUGUGAAAUCCUAGGGCUUAACCAUAGAACUGCAUUUGAAACUGUUAUUCUAGAGUAUGGGAGAGGUAGGUGGAAUGCUUGGUGUAGGGGUAAAAUGCGUAGAGAUCAAGAGGAAUACUCAUUGCGAAGGCGACCUGCUAGAACAUAACUGACGCUGAUGCGCGAAAGCGUGGGGAGCAAACAGGAUUAGAUACCCUUGUAGUC